rnacentral:rRNA from 1 species
UACGUAGGGUGCGAGCGUUAAUCGGAAUUACUGGGCGUAAAGUGUGCGCAGGCGGCAUAGCAAGUCGCGUGUGAAAGCCCCGGGCUUAACUUGGGAAUUGCGCUCGAAACUACUUUGCUGGAGUGUGGCAGAGGAAGGUGGAAUUCCACGUGUAGCGGUGAAAUGCGUAGAGAUGUGGAGGAACACCAAUGGCGAAGGCAGCCUUCUGGGCCAACACUGACGCUCAGGCACGAAAGCGUGGGGAGCAAACAGG